ACUCAAAUGAAUUGACGGGGGCCCGCACAAGCGGUGGAGCAUGUGGUUUAAUUCGAUGCUACGCGAAAAACCUUACCUAGGCUUGACAUCCCGCGCUAACCCAUGAAAGUGGGCGUUCUCUUCGGAGACGCGGAGACAGGUGCUGCAUGGCUGUCGUCAGCUCGUGUUGUGAGAUGUUGGGUUAAGUCCCGCAACGAGCGCAACCCUCGUCAGUAGUUACCAGCAUUAAGUUGGGGACUCUACUGAGACCGCUGGGCUAUAAGCCAGAGGAAGGUGGGGAUGACGUCAAGUCCUCAUGGCCUUUAUGUCUAGGGCAACACACGUGCUACAAUGGGAGGUACAAACCGUACCUAGCUCGCAAGAGUAUGGAAAUCGUAAAAAACCUCCCUCAGUUCGGAUUGGAGUCUGCAACUCGACUCCAUGAAGCUGGAAUCGCUAGUAAUCGCGGAUCAGCACGCCGCGGUGAAUACGUUCCCGGGCCUUGUACACACCGCCCGU
rnacentral:rRNA from 1 species